CUCCGGCAGCGUCCCAGAGCUACAUGAAGGGUCAUUUCCAAAGACCAGCAGCACGGAUGUGACUGGACCAAGUGUGAGAGAGUCAAAACAGAGACAGAAUAACAAGAAGAUCGCAGCCAGACCAGAAAAGGAAAGGCGAAGGAGGCUGCCGUCGGUGCUCGCAGAGGGUCUGAGCCUCGGUUCUGUCUGGACCCUGUUUGUCUCAGCUUUGACUGGCUCUCUCUUCAUUUGCCAGGAGAGCAAGCUUUUAUUGGCUCAGGUCGGUCACAUGCAGAGAGGUUACGCUCAAGCUGUGUUGACUGAGAAGUGGCUGACUGAGAAGCAUGAUGGAGGUUUGCUCAAGUUGACAGCAUGAACAGGUUUGUCUGGAUUUCUCAGGAGCAAUUUUUUUUUGUCUUGGCCCCUCGGAAAAGGUGACAUGGAUAUAAAAUCCGUCUAGUAUUUAUCAUGUGACUCAGGUUAGGAGCUGCUGUUAUACAGUCCUGACGCAUGACUCUUUUUUUCGCACUAACACAUGUACUGAAAACAGAAUCCCUCCUCACAUUUGUCUUUUCUUAAUACGUUCACACACUGCUUGUCUAGCACUAUGCAGGUGUGUUUUAGGAGCGGAGAUGCACAAUGGAGCUCCAAAAUCUUUCAUUUUUUGCCAGUAAGAAUGUGAUAAAAAAGAAAAUCUUGCGUUUUGCCAGACUGGAUGACUUCUUUUGUGGAAUACAGACGGCGACACAAACACACUGCGGCGGAUUCGGCUGAUUGAAGAGAACUUGAGUCGGUUACAUGAGCCUCAGCAGGCAGAGGGGCUAAUUAACUACAGAGGAGAAAACCAGGAAGAGGAAGGCCAGUCCUGAACCGAGCGAAGGGAGGAAACGAGCAAAGGUGGUACCAGAGGCUGAGGCUGGUACCAGCUCAGAGGAUGGGACCAGGCGGAGGAAGAAGGUCCGAGAGCAUGAGGAAGGUCCAAAGAAGAAGACGAGAAAGAGUCUGAGGAGACGCCUGUUGGAGCAGCAGGCGGCGGCGUCCUCAGCAACCACCAGCAGAGAGACCAGCAGCGACCCUUUAGAGGGCUGCAGUCAGCAAGGAGCGAGAAGGAAGUCUGCUGAUGCUGGUGAAGCUCCAAAUAAAAAGAGGCGUCUUCAGUCGGUACAGGAACAAAUACAGCUGUCAAAAGAGGAACAAAGAGCCCAAUUCGACAGCAAAUAUGAGCAGCAGCAUCAGCUCGGAGCAGGAGGCUGUGGGUGUGUGCAUGCCGGUCGCCGCAAAUCAGACAAUUUGCCGGUGGCGAUUAAACACGUCCCAAAAAUCAACGUGAUGGGCAAACAUGUGGGCCGCAACGGAAAGAAGCUUCCCAUUGAAGUAGCUGCUAUGUUGAAGAUUCAGGCUGGUGGAGCUGGAUCGGUGGGCUCGUCGGCACCGAUAUCCCUGCUGGACUGGUAUGACCUGGGCCAGGAGCUGAUCCUGGUUCUAGAGAGACCAGUUCCCUCAGAAGACCUCUGGAGUUACAUGUAUAACAAUGGAGGCUCGCUGGAGGAGGAGAAGGCAAAGAUCAUUCUGAAACAGCUCCUGGAUGCUGCCAUCCACCUGGAGGACGAGGGCAUAUUUCACCGGGACGUAAAAUGUGAAAACAUUUUGAUUGAGACCGGAUCAGAAGUCCCACGUGUGCGACUCCUUGACUUUGGGCUGUGCUGUUUCACAAAGAAGCGAUCUUACUAUCGCACAUUUCACGGCGCUUUCGCUCACACCCCUCCAGAGUGCCGCACCCGCCACACCUGCAGGCCCGGGCCCACCACAGUGUUUCAAAUGGGGGUGGUGCUGUUUGACAUGCUCCACGGUUGUGACGCAUUUGCAACAUUUGAUGGGCUGCAGCUUCGGCCUUCAUCUUUCUCUGCUUCUUUCUCUGCAGAUUGUCAGGAUUUCUUAACCAAGUGCUUCACAAUGUUCCCUGACCGUCGGCCCAAACUGACGGAGCUUCGUCAUCAUCCAUGACUGAGAUAGACACACCACUCUCAGACACAACACAAACAUCACAUGACAGAUAAAGCCUUAGUUAUCGUCCGUUUUCUGUCAUGCGUUUCGUCAUCUUGUCAAGAAUGACGAAAUUUACGUGACAUGAAUCGUCGCAAAUGCGUCGAUACAGUAAAUUAUUUCCUAAGUCUGCACGGAGUCUCACAGACUUCGGAAACUGAGUAAAACACGCAGACUCGUUCGUACUCGACGGAAAUCAAAAUGAACAAAAGAAAUUAAAAUGAACAAUACAAUAAAAAAAUGAAUAGAAAUUAGCAAUAAAAAAACUAAAAAAAAAAUCUAAAUUAACAAUAUAAUACAAGUGAUUAAAAUAAAUA